UACGAAGGGGGCUAGCGUUGCUCGGAAUCACUGGGCGUAAAGCGCACGUAGGCGGCUUUCUAAGUCAGGGGUGAAAUCCUGGAGCUCAACUCCAGAACUGCCUUUGAUACUGGAGAGCUUGAGUCCGGGAGAGGUGAGUGGAACUCCAAGUGUAGAGGUGAAAUUCGUAGAUAUUCGGAAGAACACCAGUGGCGAAGGCGGCUCACUGGCCCGGUACUGACGCUGAUGUGCGAAAGCGUGGGGAGCAAACAGG
rnacentral:rRNA from 1 species